AUCACUCUCUUUGCAUCUGUUGCUGCAACUCUUGGACUAAAAUAUUGCUCGAGUCUGCUUGAGAACUGAUCUCAAAGUUUAGAGAGAAGCACAGAAACAUUGCCUCAACAAAUCAGUCUCUGCUUUUGGAAUGAAGAAAGUGAUGGAAUUGGACUGGUUUGAAAUACUUGCUUGCUAUACUCAUCUGACUAGUUUGCUUGCUUGGGGAAGAUGGUCAUGGUUAUUGUCGUACCUAUGGUUCUACUGUGCCUCGCAGUUUGGUGUAUCCACAGGAAUCAAUGCCUUCUCAUAAGACCAAUGACCUCAUACAGAAAAUAACUGAAGAGGUUACAGAGAAAGUGAAAGAGGCUUUCACAAGGAAGAUGCAGGACCAAUUAGACAUGCUUCA